AGACAUCGUUCAUAAAAGACAGCGUCAAUAGAUUCAGCAAACGUCAUUGUUGUCUUAUUUUAAGAAAUUGCCCAGCCACCGCAACCUUCAGCAACCACCACACUGAUCAGUCAGUAGCGAUCAACAUAGAGGCAAAACCCUCUGCCAGGGAAAAGAUUACCACUCACAGAAGGCUCCUAUGAUGGUUACCAUUUUUAGGAAUAAAGUAUUUUUUAAUUAAGUUUUAGGAGAAAAAAAUGAAAAACCCAAGAGCAAGUAAUCACCGUGACCCUGUGACUGAUUCUUCUCGGAUUCCCUUGUACCUGGGAGACUCAGAUCCUCCUCUUCUCACACUUCUCUGUGAUCUAUGUCCUGACACUAAUUGGAAACCCGUGCAUUAGCUGUAAAGUGUGGUGGGACCACCAUCUCCACACCCCAUGUACAUUCUGCUGGCCAAUUUUUCCUUCCUAGAGAUUUGGCAUGCCACUUCUCCUGUCCCCAAUAUGGUAGCCAAUUUUCUCUCUGAGAACAACACCUUCUCCUCUGGCUGCUUCAUCCAGUUUUACUUCUUCUUCUCCAUGGGCACCAGUGAGACCUUCUUCUUGUCUGCCAUGGCCUUUGACAGCCUUCGGAAUAAGGAGAUGAAGGAGGCCCUGAGAAAGCUGUUUAGGAUUAUAACAUUGACUCAAAGACAGCCUCUCAAGAGCUAGAAUCCAUAGAGUGAAAUGAGGAGUCUUGCUUCAGGAACUGAAGCUGAGUCAACAUAGUGGGACUUUGGUCUGGAGUCCACAUGCUGCUGACUGAAGCAGCCACUGAAAAACCUUCAUCAGAAAAUCUGGAAAUAAUUUGGGUGAUACAUCCUAUCCCCAAAACUAAGUUCAGAAUCAAUAUACUGAACACAUACCUAAUCCCUCAAGGACAAAAUAACACACAUAAAAUACACACAUACACAAACGCACUUGUUAUAUCUUGUAUUUCCUAUAAAUGUUUUGGAAAGUUGCUUGUUUCCCUGAGCUCAUUUAAGACACAAGGUUGUGUGUUGGUGCAGCAUGUGUUGUUCUGGGGACCUCGUCAGUGUCCUUCCAAUAGCACAGGUGGUAUAAACUCAUCACAUAAGUAGAUUAUUAAGUGGGACAGGAGUUCCUCCUUCUUGGUUUUGUGCUCUUUCUUCAAAUCAGUUCUCCUUUAUACCAUCUACAUUUCCUCCUAUGGAUCUCAACUCUUCAAGCUUCCUCAUAGAACAUCAGCCCUGGAGAAUAAUCUGAAAUUGUAACUUCAUCCGGCUUUCAUUUUGACCAUAAACUUGUGCUCUGAAGCUGGAGAAAAAAAUAUCUUGUAGGUUCACUCUUUGCAAUCCAUGAGCGAUUACACACUGGAUCGUGCAAUUUCUUGGAAGCCUCUCACAUGCCUUUUGCUCGGUGAAGUAAUACUUCAUCUCCCU
rnacentral:lncRNA from 1 species